rnacentral:rRNA from 1 species
GAUGAACGCUAGCGGGAGGCCUAACACAUGCAAGCCGAGCGGUAGAGUUCCUUCGGGAACUUGAGAGCGGCGUACGGGUGCGUAACACGUGUGCAACCUACCUUUAUCUGGGGGAUAGCCUUUCGAAAGGAAGAUUAAUACCCCAUAAUAUAAUGAUUGGCAUCAAUUAUUAUUGAAAACUCCGGUGGAUAGAGAUGGGCACGCGCAAGAUUAGAUAGUUGGUGAGGUAACGGCUCACCAAGUCAAUGAUCUUUAGGGGUCCUGAGAGGGAGAUCCCCCACACUGGUACUGAGACACGGACCAGACUCCUACGGGAGGCAGCAGUGAGGAAUAUUGGACAAGGGGUGAAAGCCUGAUCCAGCCAUCCCGCGUGAAGGAUGACGGUCCUAUGGAUUGUAAACUUCUUUUGUACAGGGAUAAACCUACUCUCGUGAGGGUAGCUGAAGGUACUGUACGAAUAAGCACCGGCUAACUCCGUG